rnacentral:rRNA from 1 species
UACGGAGGGUGCAAGCGUUAUCCGGAUUCACUGGGUUUAAAGGGUGCGUAGGCGGUCAGAUAAGUCAGUGGUGAAAGCCCGCGGCUCAACCGUGGAAUUGCCAUUGAAACUGCCUGACUUGAAUACAAUUGAAGUGGAUGGAAUACAUCAUGUAGCGGUGAAAUGCUUAGAUAUGAUGUAGAACACCAAUUGCGAAGGCAGUUCACUAAGCUGUCAUUGACGCUGAGGCACGAAAGCGUGGGGAGCGAACAGG